GCGAAAUUCCUUGUCGGGUAACUUCCGACCCGCACGAAAGGCGUAACGAUCUGGGCACUGUCUCAACGAGAGACUCGGUGAAAUUAUAGUACCUGUGAAGAUGCAGGUUACCCGCGACAGGACGGAAAGACCCCGUGGAGCUUUACUGUAGCCUGAUAUUGAAUUUCGGUGCAGCUUGUACAGGAUAGGUAGGAGCCUUGGAAACCGGAGCGCUAGCUUCGGUGGAGGCAUCGGUGGGAUACUACCCUGGCUGUAUUGAAAUUCUAACCCGCACCCGUAAUCCGGGUGGGAGACAGUGUCAGGUGGGCAGUUUGACUGGGGCGGUCGCCUCCCAAAGAGUAACGGAGGCGCGCGAUGGUAAGCUCAAGACGGUCGGACAUCGUCUGUUGAGUGCAAUGGCAUAAGCUUGCCUGACUGCGAGAGUGACAACUCGAGCAGAGACGAAAGUCGGUCAUAGUGAUCCGGUGGUCCCGAGUGGAAGGGCCAUCGCUCAACGAAUAAAAGGUACUCCGGGGAUAACAGGCUGAUACCGCCCAAGAGUUCACAUCGACGGCGGUGUUUGGCACCUCGAUGUCGGCUCAUCACAUCCUGGGGCUGAAGCCGGUCCCAAGGGUAUGGCUGUUCGCCAUUUAAAGUGGUACGCGAGCUGGGUUUAGAACGUCGUGAGACAGUUCGGUCCCUAUCUGCCGUGGACGUUGGAGAUUUGAGGAAAGCUGCUCCUAGUACGAGAGGACCGGAGUGGACGAACCGCUGGUGUUCGGGUUGUGUCGCCAGACGCAUUGCCCGGUAGCUAUGUUCGGACAGGAUAACCGCUGAAAGCAUCUAAGCGGGAAGCCCCUUCCAAGAUGAGAUCUCCCUGGACCCUUGAGGUCCCUGAAGAGCCGUUCAAGACCAGGACGUUGAUAGGUCGGGUGUGUAAGCGCUGCGAGGCGUUGAGCUAACCGAUACUAAUUGCUCGUGCGGCUUGAC
rnacentral:rRNA from 1 species